GAUGAACGCUGGCGGCGUGCCUAAUACAUGCAAGUCGAGCGAACGGACGAGAAGCUUGCUUCUCUGAUGUUAGCGGCGGACGGGUGAGUAACACGUGGAUAACCUACCUAUAAGACUGGGAUAACUUCGGGAAACCGGAGCUAAUACCGGAUAAUAUUUUGAACCGCAUGGUUCAAAAGUAAAAGACGGUCUUGCUGUCACUUAUAGAUGGAUCCGCGCUGCAUUAGCUAGUUGGUAAGGUAACGGCUUACCAAGGCAACGAUGCAUAGCCGACCUGAGAGGGUGAUCGGCCACACUGGAACUGAGACACGGUCCAGACUCCUACGGGAGGCAGCAGUAGGGAAUCUUCCGCAAUGGGCGAAAGCCUGACGGAGCAACGCCGCGUGAGUGAUGAAGGUCUUCGGAUCGUAAAACUCUGUUAUUAGGGAAGAACAUAUGUGUAAGUAACUGUGCACAUCUUGACGGUACCUGAUCAAAAAGCCACGGCUAACUACGUG
rnacentral:rRNA from 1 species